ACGGGAGGCAGCAGUGGGGAAUUUUGGACAAUGGGGGCAACCCUGAUCCAGCCAUGCCGCGUGCGGGAAGAAGGCCUUCGGGUUGUAAACCGCUUUUGUCAGGGACGAAAAGGCCGGUGUGAACAAUGCCGGCCGCUGACGGUACCUGAAGAAUAAGCACCGGCUAACUACGUGCCAGCAGCCGCGGUAAUACGUAGGGUGCGAGCGUUAAUCGGAAUUACUGGGCGUAAAGCGUGCGCAGGCGGCCGCGCAAGACGGAUGUGAAAUCCCCGGGCUCAACCUGGGAACUGCAUUCGUGACUGCGUGGCUCGAGUAUGCAAGAGGGGGGUGGAAUUCCACGUGUAGCAGUGAAAUGCGUAGAUAUGUGGAAGAACACCGAUGGCGAAGGCAGCCCCCUGGGGCAAAACUGACGCUCAUGCACGAAAGCGUGGGGAGCAAACAGGAUUAGAUACCCUGGUA
rnacentral:rRNA from 1 species